ACCUAGGCUCUUUAGCAAGAGUUAUGGUUUCUUUGUCUUUGCAGUAUAAUGUCAUGGUAUCUGAUGGUAUGACAACCAAUUCUGCAACUAACAUUAAAAUCAAAAUGCAUCCUACAUAUUUACAGUGCACUCAGCUUUUAUUAAUCGAUUAUUUGGAACCCUUCCAAGAUAUUGACAUAGGAACACACUUUUGGGAAAAAUUUAGUGCAGGG
rnacentral:lncRNA from 1 species